UACGGAGGGUGCAAGCGUUAUCCGGAUUUACUGGGUUUAAAGGGUGCGCAGGCGGAUAUGUAAGUCAGUGGUGAAAUCUUUAGGCUUAACCUGAAAAUUGCCGUUGAUACUAUAUAUCUUGAAUGCUGUGGAGGUAAGCGGAAUAUGUCAUGUAGCGGUGAAAUGCUUAGAUAUGACAUAGAACACCUAUUGCGAAGGCAGCUCGCUACACAUAUAUUGACUCUGAGGCACGAAAGCGUGGGGAUCAAACAGG
rnacentral:rRNA from 1 species